UCCGGUGACCAUACUGGAGAGGAUACACCCGUUCCCAUCCCGAACACGGAAAGUUAAGCUCUCUAAGGCCGAUGGUACUUGGGCUUAUGCCCCGGGAGAGUAGGUAGUUGCCGGAA
rnacentral:rRNA from 1 species